AUUGAACGCUGGCGGCAUGCCUUACACAUGCAAGUCGAACGGCAGCACGGGGCAACCUGGUGGCGAGUGGCGAACGGGUGAGUAAUGCAUCGGAACGUGCCAUUGAGUGGGGGAUAACGUAGCGAAAGUUGCGCUAAUACCGCAUAUUCUGUGAGCAGGAAAGCAGGGGGACCGCAAGGCCUUGCGCUCUUUGAGCGGCCGAUGUCAGAUUAGCUAGUUGGUGAGGUAACGGCUUACCAAGGCGACGAUCUGUAGCGGGUCUGAGAGGAUGAUCCGCCACACUGGAACUGAAACACGGUCCAGACUCCUACGGGAGGCAGCAGUGGGGAAUUUUGGACAAUGGGCGCAAGCCUGAUCCAGCCAUGCCGCGUGAGUGAAGAAGGCCUCGG
rnacentral:rRNA from 1 species